rnacentral:rRNA from 1 species
UACGAAGGGGGCUAGCGUUGCUCGGAAUCACUGGGCGUAAAGCGCACGUAGGCGGACUCUUAAGUCGGUGGUGAAAUCCUGGAGCUCAACUCCAGAACUGCCUUCGAUACUGGGAGUCUCGAGUUCGGGAGAGGUGAGUGGAACUGCGAGUGUAGAGGUGAAAUGCGCAGAUAUCAGGAAGAACACCCCGUGGCGAAGGCGGCUCACUGGGGGCUUUUUCUGACGCUGAGGAACGAAAGCCAGGGUAGCGAACGGG